rnacentral:tRNA from 1 species
ACCUGGGUGGCUCAGUGGGUUAAGCGUCUGACUUCGGCUCAGGUCAUGAUCUCACGGCUUGUGGGUUCGAGCCCCACAUCGGGCU